rnacentral:rRNA from 1 species
GACCGGCGCACGGGUGAGUAACGCGUAUGCAAUCUACCUUCUACAGGGGAAUAACCCGGAGAAAUUCGGACUAAUACCGCAUAAAACAGGGGUCCCGCAUGGGAAUAUUUGUUAAAGAUUUAUCGGUAGAAGAUGAGCAUGCGUUCCAUUAGGUAGUUGGUGAGGUAACGGCUCACCAAGCCAACGAUGGAUAGGGGAACUGAGAGGUUUAUCCCCCACACUGGAACUGAGACACGGACCAG